rnacentral:rRNA from 1 species
GGGUUGUGAGGUUAAGCGACUAAGCGUACACGGUGGAUGCCCUGGCAGUCAGAGGCGAUGAAGGACGUGCUAAUCUGCGAUAAGCGUCGGUGAGGUGAUAUGAACCGUUAUAACCGGCGAUUUCCGAAUGGGGAAACCCAGUGUGUUUCGACACACUAUCAUUAACUGAAUCCAUAGGUUAAUGAGGCGAACCGGGGGAACUGAAACAUCUAAGUACCCCGAGGAAAAGAAAUCAACCGAGAUUCCCCCAGUAGCGGCGAGCGAACGGGGAGGAGCCCAGAGCCUGAAUCAGUGUGUGUGUUAGUGGAAGCGUCUGGAAAGGCGCGCGAUACAGGGUGACAGCCCCGUACACAAAAAUGCACAUAUUGUGAGCUCGAUGAGUAGGGCGGGACACGUGGUAUCCUGUCUGAAUAUGGGGGGACCAUCCUCCAAGGCUAAAUACUCCUGACUGACCGAUAGUGAACCAGUACCGUGAGGGAAAGGCGAAAAGAACCCCGGCGAGGGGAGUGAAAAAGAACCUGAAACCGUGUACGUACAAGCAGUGGGAGCCUCUUAAUGGGGUGACUGCGUACCUUUUGUAUAAUGGGUCAGCGACUUAUAUUCUGUAGCAAGGUUAACCGAAUAGGGGAGCCGAAGGGAAACCGAGUCUUAACUGGGCGUUAAGUUGCAGGGUAUAGACCCGAAACCCGGUGAUCUAGCCAUGGGCAGGUUGAAGGUUGGGUAACACUAACUGGAGGACCGAACCGACUAAUGUUGAAAAAUUAGCGGAUGACUUGUGGCUGGGGGUGAAAGGCCAAUCAAACCGGGAGAUAGCUGGUUCUCCCCGAAAGCUAUUUAGGUAGCGCCUCGUGAAUUCAUCUCCGGGGGUAGAGCACUGUUUCGGCAAGGGGGUCAUCCCGACUUACCAACCCGAUGCAAACUGCGAAUACCGGAGAAUGUUAUCACGGGAGACACACGGCGGGUGCUAACGUCCGUCGUGAAGAGGGAAACAACCCAGACCGCCAGCUAAGGUCCCAAAGUCAUGGUUAAGUGGGAAACGAUGUGGGAAGGCCCAGACAGCCAGGAUGUUGGCUUAGAAGCAGCCAUCAUUUAAAGAAAGCGUAAUAGCUCACUGGUCGAGUCGGCCUGCGCGGAAGAUGUAACGGGGCUAAACCAUGCACCGAAGCUGCGGCAGCGACACUAUGUGUUGUUGGGUAGGGGAGCGUUCUGUAAGCCUGUGAAGGUGGCCUGUGAGGGUUGCUGGAGGUAUCAGAAGUGCGAAUGCUGACAUAAGUAACGAUAAAGCGGGUGAAAAGCCCGCUCGCCGGAAGACCAAGGGUUCCUGUCCAACGUUAAUCGGGGCAGGGUGAGUCGACCCCUAAGGCGAGGCCGAAAGGCGUAGUCGAUGGGAAACAGGUUAAUAUUCCUGUACUUGGUGUUACUGCGAAGGGGGGACGGAGAAGGCUAUGUUGGCCGGGCGACGGUUGUCCCGGUUUAAGCGUGUAGGCUGGUUUUCCAGGCAAAUCCGGAAAAUCAAGGCUGAGGCGUGAUGACGAGGCACUACGGUGCUGAAGCGACAAAUGCCCUGCUUCCAGGAAAAGCCUCUAAGCAUCAGGUAACAUCAAAUCGUACCCCAAACCGACACAGGUGGUCAGGUAGAGAAUACCAAGGCGCUUGAGAGAACUCGGGUGAAGGAACUAGGCAAAAUGGUGCCGUAACUUCGGGAGAAGGCACGCUGAUAUGUAGGUGAAGCGACUUGCUCGUGGAGCUGAAAUCAGUCGAAGAUACCAGCUGGCUGCAACUGUUUAUUAAAAACACAGCACUGUGCAAACACGAAAGUGGACGUAUACGGUGUGACGCCUGCCCGGUGCCGGAAGGUUAAUUGAUGGGGUUAGCGGUAACGCGAAGCUCUUGAUCGAAGCCCCGGUAAACGGCGGCCGUAACUAUAACGGUCCUAAGGUAGCGAAAUUCCUUGUCGGGUAAGUUCCGACCUGCACGAAUGGCGUAAUGAUGGCCAGGCUGUCUCCACCCGAGACUCAGUGAAAUUGAACUCGCUGUGAAGAUGCAGUGUACCCGCGGCAAGACGGAAAGACCCCGUGAACCUUUACUAUAGCUUGACACUGAACAUUGAGCCUUGAUGUGUAGGAUAGGUGGGAGGCUUUGAAGUGUGGACGCCAGUCUGCAUGGAGCCGACCUUGAAAUACCACCCUUUAAUGUUUGAUGUUCUAACGUGGGCCCCUUACCGGGGUUGCGGACAGUGUCUGGUGGGUAGUUUGACUGGGGCGGUCUCCUCCUAAAGAGUAACGGAGGAGCACGAAGGUUGGCUAAUCCUGGUCGGACAUCAGGAGGUUAGUGCAAUGGCAUAAGCCAGCUUGACUGCGAGCGUGACGGCGCGAGCAGGUGCGAAAGCAGGUCAUAGUGAUCCGGUGGUUCUGAAUGGAAGGGCCAUCGCUCAACGGAUAAAAGGUACUCCGGGGAUAACAGGCUGAUACCGCCCAAGAGUUCAUAUCGACGGCGGUGUUUGGCACCUCGAUGUCGGCUCAUCACAUCCUGGGGCUGAAGUAGGUCCCAAGGGUAUGGCUGUUCGCCAUUUAAAGUGGUACGCGAGCUGGGUUUAGAACGUCGUGAGACAGUUCGGUCCCUAUCUGCCGUGGGCGCUGGAGAACUGAGGGGGGCUGCUCCUAGUACGAGAGGACCGGAGUGGACGCAUCACUGGUGUUCGGGUUGUCAUGCCAAUGGCACUGCCCGGUAGCUAAAUGCGGAAGAGAUAAGUGCUGAAAGCAUCUAAGCACGAAACUUGCCCCGAGAUGAGU